GAUGAAGAACGUAGCGAAAUGCGAUAAGUAGUGUGAAUUGCAGAAUUCAGUGAAUCAUCGAAUCUUUGAACGCACAUUGCGCCUUCUAGUAUUCUGGGAGGCAUGCCUGUUUGAGCGUCAUUAAACCUCUCUCAAGUAUGAUUACUUGGAUGUGAAGGAAGAGUACCUUAAACUUAAGGAGUGUUCUCCUUUGAAAUUGAUUAGCAGAUGGUAAUGUUAUUAAAUCCCUGAUGUUGUAAGAAAUAACAGUGGUUUUGUAGACUAUUAUCUAGCUUUAAAUUAUAAUUUUUAUUAUGGUUGACCUCAAAUCAGGUAAGGAUACCCGCUGAACUUAAGCAUAUCAAUAAGCGGACGA
rnacentral:misc_RNA from 1 species